AUUGAACGCUGGCGGCAGGCCUAACACAUGCAAGUCGAACGGUAACAGGAAGAAGCUUGCUUCUUUGCUGACGAGUGGCGGACGGGUGAGUAAUGUCUGGGAAACUGCCUGAUGGAGGGGGAUAACUACUGGAAACGGUAGCUAAUACCGCAUAACGUCGCAAGACCAAAGAGGGGGACCUUCGGGCCUCUUGCCAUCGGAUGUGCCCAGAUGGGAUUAGCUAGUAGGUGGGGUAACGGCUCACCUAGGCGACGAUCCCUAGCUGGUCUGAGAGGAUGACCAGCCACACUGGAACUGAGACACGGUCCAGACUCCUACGGGAGGCAGCAGUGGGGAAUAUUGGACAAUGGGCGCAAGCCUGAUGCAGCCAUGCCGCGUGUAUGAAGAAGGCCUUCGGGUUGUAAAGUACUUUCGGCGGGGAGGAAGGGAGUAAAGUUAAUACCUGUGCUCAUUGACGUUACCCGCAGAAGAAGCACCGGCUAACUCCGUG
rnacentral:rRNA from 1 species